GGUUACCGAUCAUUAGGAAAAAAAAAAAAAAUCGCUAUUGUAAUAAUGUUUUCCAGGAUUGUUCGUUGGCAGCGUUUUUUUAAUGAAAAAUAUCUUAUCGAGAUACCGCUUUUCGACUGUCCGUAAUACGUUGUUAAGAGGACACCACAAUCUACACUGUCCUGUCUGCAUCUAUACUGUCCUCAGUCCAACUACCGGGCCACAUGCAAAAACAAUGCUUAUGCAGACUUAAUUUUGGAGCAAAAAUACCUAGGUAUUAUACAAUUUAUAGAGAAUUUUGAAAGGAACCUUAUAUAGGUGUUUUUUGAACGGUGAAUCACUAAAAAAAGGUUACAGUAAUUUAAAAAAGCUAAAAAAGAAGUUUUUUGCGCCUUUUAUACGCCCUAAUCCGCGUUGUUUUUGCAUGUUGCUCGGUAGACUGUGACAGUAGAUGCGAAUGUAGCGUCCUCUUAAACGUAAUAUAAUGUGGUGCCGAUACGUUAAUCCCGGAGCAAACGACAGGUAGAUCGGAAAAACGCUUAAAAACAUUUUAAAAAGUAAAUUUUCAAGGCCAAAGCGUUUUUUUUUUUCAAUCGGAAACCCGCGUAUAUUAUACGGUUUUAAUAAAUAUUUUCGACGAGAUAUCAUUAAUUAAUUGCGGUCGACAAACAAUAAUAAUUAGUCAUUUUUUUUUUUCUUUUGCCAUUCCGAACGAUAAACCGCAAAUAUUUUACAGCUUUAGUUCAAACUCGACUUGUACAACAAAUGACGUAAAAUGACCAUUUAUUUAUACACUUUACGUUCAAUUAUUUUAAACAAAACGGGAUUUCGUGAUGUCAUUAUAGUGGCAGUGUCGAUAAGAAUUAUUAUUAUUAUUUUUUUUUUUUUUUUUAGUUUCUAGAGAUUCGGUUUACUUUUUCAAACAGCACACAUUAGUCAGCUGUGUUUCUUUUUUUUUUUUAACUUGGAAAUUAUUGGUUAUGUCAUUGACGUUUAUAUUUGAACGUAUCUAAAAUAAAUAUCAACAACUUAGUACAUACUUGAAAAUGAUUAUAAUUUUUUUUUUUUCAUUUAAUUUGACAAUUAAUUAUAUUAUAAGGAAAAUUGUCAUUAAUGUAAGCGAAUAAGAAAGAGAAAUCAUGAAAAAAAAAAAAAAUAAUAAUAAUAAAGUCGUGUUUGUUUAUAAUGUCUUUAUAAUUAUAGGAGUAGGUAACAGUGGCGCGCUGAACAUUUUUUAUACUUUAGCCAAAACAAAAUAAUUAGGACCUACCCACUCUAAACAUGGAUUUUUAUGUGUCUUAUAAAUAAUUUAUUUUACAGCGAAAACCUUAAUUAGCUAAAUUGGCUACAUAAUACAGGCUAUAAUAUCCGUAUGUAAAUAUGUUAAUAAUACAAUAUACAAAACUAAAAGCAUCUCUGAUCUUUGAAUUACUAGUUAAUCUUAAUCAACAUUCAUCAUACUUAGUCACCCAUCCACCCACCCAUUUUAAUCACGAGGUAAAUGCCUCAAAACACCUACUUUGGCACGCCACUGGUAGGUAAUAUUAUUGCGUUCG